UUGCAAGUGUUUUUGCAGGCCCUGGCUUUAGAGUCUCUUUCUUUCAGUUCAGUCUUUGCUCUCUCUAGGAGAGUGUCACAUUGCUGGAGUUUUUCGUUGAGUUCCUUUUGGGCCUCUCUCUCCAACUGUUCUCUUUGGUCUAUGUCGAGGCUAAGAUCUUGCAGGGCAUUUUGAAGUCUUUCUACUUCUUUCUGUAGCUCUGGAUCUGUGGCGUCCUCUUUCUCACGCUGGUUCUGGGUCUCGAGAAGGAGCUGAUCAAGGCGACUCUGGGUUCGGGCCUGGUCCUUCCAGGCCUCCUUCGCUUGAAGCAUAAGCGUUGCUGCUUGCUGUUCCAGGUCGAUGUUGCUCCAUUUGCUGAGCCAUGCCUGGGUGACGAGAAUGUGAACUAGGCUUCCGAGGAUCCUGGCGAGUUCUUUGUAGUUGUAGCUUUGGGUUGGAUCGUGUGCCAUCAAUUCGUCUAGCCCGGUGUCCAGUUGCUCUUGGUUUAGGUGCUGCAGGUUACUGGCGUCCUUGGGCAGGAAGGGGGUCGUCAUUGCUUUCAACCAUGUCGAGAGGUUGCCCCCGUGGACUGCUGGACUGGAUGAACAGAAUAUCCUGGCUCACUAUAGGUGAGAGAAAUACAGCAUACACACAAAGAGACCAAUGCAAGUUUGUUCUACGGUUAAUGAGCUAUACUCGUACGGGCUAUGUCGUUUAUGAGAAUUUUGGGGCUAACUGAUGCAAACAGUCAGACAGUUCGCGGAGCCAAUUAACUUGGGUCAACGAAGGACCUGAAAUGGAGAUUUGACAGGCAGUAGCCUAGCGGGUCACGUGAUGACACCGGCUGCUGGUUGUCACUCUACUAUUUAUCUUCCUUGGUGGCUCUCAUAGGUUACUGUCUCUAUGUGAAAUGAAAAAAACAAAUCACAACAGAACAAAGGACAGAAAAGAUCAAAGUGAAACAAAACACUUGAAAUGAGAUAAAACAAUAGUAACACGAUAUGUGUUAGGGAGAAUAAGGAGGCCUAAGCCUACUGCUAGGUUUGAAGAUAGGGCCAACAGGUGAGUGGGGCUAUUGGGGUAGGAAACCUAGGAAGAUGGUGUGGCUUGGAGAAGAGAUGGGCCAAACGCUUAAAAUAUAUCUAGGGGAAUAUCUAAUAUUCUGUGGCUUAUAAUUCUGUCGCUCAGGUGGAAAUCAGCGGCACGGUUAACCUCCCUGGCGCUCCCAAACACUCAACCGCAGUGUCCUCGGCCCUCCGUUACUCUGUGUCACGUUGCGCCCUCUCAAACAGCUUGUGACUUUUAACACAACCUGGCAAUGCCAAGAUGUCAAACGCCAGACAGCACUGCAAAAUUGGGCUGUUCCCUAGAACCCUCUCGAAAGAGUGGCCCCUUUUUAGGCCCGGUUUAGGUACUGGUCCCAGAAAUUGCCUUGUUUGUGUCGGCUGGACUGAUUGAUUACCUUUGGAGUGCCAAAUUGCUGAUGUCUCCACUGCGGGCCGCAACAACGGACAGAGAUAAAAGAAACAGAGAUUCCCUCACAGCCAGUGUCGGUAACGCUGUUCGGGUAACCUUGCUCACUGGAAACCUGAGAUGACUGUCCAAUCACCAAGGGUGUUCUACAAUCAAAUACACAAAGGAUGAACAAGGGAAACUUAAAGUGAAUUAAGGCUUGUUUGUUUAAAAUCAAUUGAGUAAAUAUAUAUGUAGAAAUGAGAGGUAACAGCUUUACCUAAUAAUGAUAAAACAAAAAGGGAAUUAUGAUAGUGAUGGUAAUUAUCAAAAUAACCUAACCCAAAAGAGAGAAGAAAAAUAAUAAAAAUCAAAAUAGAAAGAGACAGGAUGAAACAUGGGAGAAGAAGCAGGCCGCGGUAGCUGGUUUUCACCACAAGGGGGCGUACUCCCUCUCUGUGCUUCACCUGGUGAGCAGACAACUUAAUUCAAAUUAAAAUUCAAAACUGGUUUAAAUUGAAAUUUAAAAUAAGCGGGAAGAGAGCUGAAAGCUAUGAACCAACUUAACAGGAGACGGCCACUAGAUGGCUCACUUCCUUCUAAGUGGGUCAAUCAGUGGUUAACCUGAGACACUUAAUUUACACUAUUAAACAAUUAAAUUUUAAUUCAAAUCAUAUUUGAACCAAACUCAAAGUGUGAACAGUCACAGGCAUGAAAAUUUGUCUAACAUAAAAUAAUAUUUGCACGAGCGAAGCUGUAAAUGCAAAUAAUUAUUGAGAAUUUAGACAGCUAAUUCCAUAACCAAAGGGAAAUAAAAAUUAGCAGUAAGAGAGCAUUAUCUGAAACGGCCACGAGAUGGCGUAAUUGCACUCAUGCAGGCUGAAGUCAGAAGACGAGGCGUAAUUUGAGACUUCUAAACACUCUGGUGUUUAGUCAGCAGAAUUACAGCCGACUUUAAUGUGAUUUAGAAUCUGAGCGUUUGUCAGCGCUGAUUCUCCAACAGACAAAGGUUUGUAGGACCUUUAAGGUGUUAUACUGCACAAGAGCGUGAGGCAGGAUUUCUUCGCUGCAAAAACACGCAAAUGUGAACAACAGGAAUUGUCCGUCUGUUGCACUCCCAUACACAUUUAUCAAAAUAGCACUUAUGAUUUAAAUGUUUUAGGUUUAAAAUUGGGUAGCUAAGCCAAUUUUUCGACCAGGAGUUUUAUCGUUUAUUUUUGAAUAUCACUGUGGUUAACCACGAAUUCAAUAACGAUAUGUAAUUACAAGGCCUUUUUACUACUGAAUCAGAGGAACAUCGCUCUGAUCAGAUUUACGUCUCGUCCUAAAAAAAGAGAUUUCUUCGUCUUUAAUAGGCGGGUUACUAAUAAUAAUGUUCUCACUGCAGAGAUAUCUUGGUCUUCUCUUAACAGGACAUUUAACAUUAUAAUGCAGUGUACUUUCAGCAAAAUAACAGUGACUAUACUGUUAGGUAUUUCUAGAAACUGUUAAUGUGCUGACUGAUCAGCUUUUUGCCUCAGUCAGUUAGGAGUGAGUUCGCGUCUUGCGACUUAUCUCACAAUCUCAUAAUUUCGUAGCGCGUGUGCAGAAAUUAUUAAUAACCAUAUAAACAGAUUGAAACUGAAAUGAAACUCAUAAAACAAAGUUUGAAAUGCCCGCAUUCCUCCACCAAAACACUGUAACCGCACUGGGUAGUACAUUAACGUUAGCUCAAAUGAUAUACACUCUCAGAAAUAAAGGUACAGAAAAGACAAAUAAAAGGUACAAAUGCUCGUCGCUGGGGCAGUACCCCCAAGGGGAACAAACUUGUACCAUAUUAAUGGGUACAAAAAAGUACCCCUACAGUUUGUGCCUUUAAGUUACAAAUAUGUACCUUUGAGGGUACAAAUGGCUCAUCGCUGGGGUGGUACCCCCGAGGUACAGCAAUGGUACCCUUACCAUAGGUACAGAGUUGUACCCUUUUAUACUGUACCUUUUGAGAGACAGUUUGGUACCUUAGCAAUACAUUUGUACCUUAAUCCACUGGUACAAAAAUGUACCCUAUUAGAUGGUACCAAUUUGUUCUCGUUAGGGGUUCCACCCCAGCGACGAUGCCAUUGUACCUAUAAAGUGGCAAAAAUGUCCUUGAUAAAUAGAAAAGAAUGAGAGCAAAAGAAAGCAAUGUUUUGUUUUCCCACAAUCAAUGAUUUAAAAGAACUUAAACUGCACAAAUUAAAAUACUGGAAAGAGAAUAACGACCGCACACCACAAUCUUCGUUUGCAAUAAACUUUAAUAAACAAAGUUUUUCACAUUUAAACAACUUUAAUAGAGAAUCACUUUAUGAAUGCAUUACUUACUGCAGUGUAAGAACAUAACAUAACAUAACAUAACAUAACAUAACAUAACAUAACAUAACAUCAUGCUUUAUAUUGACUAAAAGCUACUGUGAGUGUUCAUUGGAUGCUUAAAGGAUUAGUUCAUCCCAAAAUUAACAUUUCCUAUUAAUUUACUCACCCAAUGCCAUCCAAGAUAUCCAUGUCUUUCUUUCCUCAGUGGGAGAGAAAUUGUUUUUUGAGGAAAACAUUUCUGGAUUUUUUUCUUCUAACAAUGGACUUCAUUGGUUACCAUCGUUUUUAAGUCCAAAUCAAUGCAUUUUCAAAAGUCUUUGAAGUGUUUAAACGGGCUGUACACGAUCACAGCUGAAGAAAAGGUUGUUUUCUAGUGAAACGAUGGGUCAUUUUCAAAAAAAAAAUUAUAAUUUAUACUUUUUACCUUCAAUAGUUCGGAUUGAGCUGAUCAACAAACGGACAGGGAACUACGUCAUCAGGUUGAAAGGUUGCGCUAAUUUAGCGCUAAUCAGGGAACCGGCUUUACUGACUAGAUACGCAUGAUCAUAUCGUUCGAUAUAUCGCCCAGCCCGAGGUCAGCUAAGGUUAUGCUUUUUUCUUUACAAUCUUUACAACUAGCUACAUGUAACGAACGUUAGUGGUAACUUGCAAAUAAGUCCCGAUAUAAUGUUAGUUCGAUCUAACUGUAGAUAACGUGCAGCCAACUUUAAUCUGCGGGGCGCAAGUGUCACUUAAAUGUAACUUUAGGUUAGCUAACGACAGUAUUACUCACCUCUGAAUUUCUGUGCUUCAACUUCUGUCAUAGUUAAAACACCUUCUGUCAUGUUUGGAUCAGCUCAUCUGAGGAUAAAGUUGGCAGGGCCAUUGUUGAGCUGCAGCGUCCUGCAGGCUCCAGCGACCGCCGUGCCGAGUGAAAGAAAGAGGCGUGACCACUGACCUAGAACACGAAUAACGGCGCUAAAAAACAACCAGUCAUAAUAUUAGACAGGACAAUUUUAACAAUUUUCGCCAUCUUAUUCAUCACUAAAUUCACUUAUGAGAACGUUUUAGGCAAGAAAAGAACUGUUUAGAUUUCGAAUAUAGGCAGUCUUGUGAAAAUUGAUGCCGAAUUUACAAUUUCCUUCAAAGUUAUCGGAGUUGAGAAGCUCCAUGAAGUGAGGCGACAGCCAGCAGGCGCCUGCCCCGGACGCGCUAGCUCGUCGCUCGGCCAGUCCUGCUCAGAGACCCCGCUGUGAGCUGGAGGUCUCUCAGACCGGUCUCGUACAUUAGAGGCUUUUAUUUCGCCGUUGAUGAUUCGUUUGUUUACAUGCUGUUCAUGUAAACACUCGAAUUCCAUUCAAGCCAUUGAUGUACAUCCAAGUUCACUCGACUACAUACUCAUGACAUCACAUACAUACUCACUAUCAGUGAAACAGCAUGAAAUAAACUCAUAACACAGAAUUAAUGAAUAAAGGAAAACAUAAAACAUGCAGAAUAACACUAUACUCGGUACUUUAUCUCCGCAUAACUCGCGGCGCGCGCGCGCUAAUCACACCACAUUUGCUAACAAUGUGCGCAGCACAGAUCGUUAACACUAUAAACAGUUUACAGACUCAACAGUCUCGUAUAGGAAAAAAUACAGUUAACAGUCCUUCUUAUGAAGAUCUAAAACAAUGAUGGAGUGCAUUUUAUACAUUCGUUACCUGUAAAGGAUGAUAUUAAUUAACAAGUUUAAGUGAUGCGAUCAUCAGCAUUGCUUUAUCUUGAAUGAAACGUAUCGCGAGAACUCCUUCUCUAAAUGCGUGCAAUGCCGCGUCCACGCCCGCACAACCAAGCACACACAUCCAUCUUAACAAUAAUAAUUUAUAUUGAAUUAAUUUGAACCAAUAGUGCUUAUUAUAGAACCCAAAAUAUAUGCAACAAUUAUUUAAAUGAAAACAAUAAUGAUAAUAAUUAUAAAAAUCGAGCAUAAAUCUGUAAAUAAUCCCUUAGCAGAAACAAAUGAAAAUACUUACGGAAACUGAUAGUGAUAAUAAUUAUGCACUUAUCACAGAGGAUUAUUCAGCAUACCACAUUUACAAAUUAUGACAAAGGCUCUAUCAGUCUUAGAAAAGGCACGCAUAAGUAGCUGCUACCCCAGAGGUUUGUGUACCCUGUAACUUGAAAAGUACUUCUUAGUACCCCACAGGAAGUGUACCCUUUGACUUGAAUAAGGUACUUUUUUGUACCCUACAGGAUGUGUACCCAAAAGGUACUUCUAAGUACCCCAUGGGAACACGAUAGGACCUUUAAUGGUACAUUUGUGAAUGUUGUACCUUAACUAUUACUUUAUAUGACAAUGUACCUUUUCAAAGGGUACAUAUAUGUACCUUUCACCAUGCAUAUUUCAUUGUGUACCCCUUUUGUUUGGAAAGGUACUUUUUGGUACUCAGUUGGAUACAUGUUUGUUCCUUUGCUGGCACAUUUGUGAAAUUUGUACCUUAAAGUACUUAAUUGUACCCUCACUGUACCUUUAUUUCUGAGAGUGUAUAGGGAAUUUUAAUAAUUAAUCAGGAAUAUGAUUAAUAUAUAUAUCUCAUGUGACAGUUACAUUAAAAUUAUUGAAGAUGAAAAAUAGGUCAAUUGUAUAUAUCAAUAACUCAUUACAAGGCACUGUAAUUUACUCAUUAAUAUGUCAAUAUUCCAUUCUUCAUAUCAAUUAAUGUGAUAUCUUUUACUGGGAAUUAAUGCAAAUCGAACAGUGGUUUGUCCAGCAAACGGCCGUAAGAUUAACUUAUCAACUUUCAAUAAAGUUAUCACUUCUUAUAAUUCCAGGAAAAAUAGUUUCUGGCCAUGAAACCAUUCUCCUGUCCUUAUAAAAUUUAGGUUACUGAAAAGUAACAAAUAAGCUUUGUAGCUAAGAUCAAACAUUUCAUUGACUUUGUGAUGUGAGCAUUUUAGACAGAAGCAAUCAUGAAUAUAUAUUGGCUUUUAAUAAUUGAACUAAUAAUACAUCAAACUACGAUUCACACAGAGUAAAUAUGCGUAUAACAAUACAAACAGUAAAAAUAAAUACAGUACAAAAACGGAUAACAAAUGAGAGAGAGAGAGAGUGAAAGGGUGAGCGAGAGAAGGUGAGAGAGAAAGAGGCGAGAUGAAUGAUCGCCCAGUAUGGCAAAAAUCACAUACAGUAACCUUUUGAAAGACAACGAGGAAUCAGAUCACCUUGAAAAAGGGAAUAGACAACCUUAAGCAGCGUUUAAAUCUCUAUAGAAAAUAAUACUUGCAUGUGGGUCUCUUUGUGCCUGCUAAAGACGAGCGUGCGUGUUUUGUUGUUUUGGAGCUGGGCGUGUUCUCUCUUCCGGGGCGAGCAGACUCGCGCGAAGUUUCAAAGGUUCAACGAACGUGGAGUUACCAAAGAAAUGAUUCAGAGUUCGUCUCCCUCAUGUAGGGAGAGGCGAAUAUAAGAAUAAAACUUAGUAAAGAAAAGAAAAGAAAAACGGAGAUGAGAGCCCCCUAAGGAGCAAUCGCGACAGACGUUCUCUCCGACGAAGUGCGGACGAAGUGCAGUGCAACGAGAACUCUCUGUGUCAGUCUCUUAUGGAGCGACUGGGUUCACGCCUCUGCUCGCGCGAACAACCAAUGAACGUCCACGAUCUGAAGCGGGGAAAAAGUUCCUUUGUCUCUGGGGAGACACCCACUCGAGUGAGCAGUUAUAUUCCAGCAAGAUGGUAAUUCCAGAAUAAUACAUUUUACUGUAAUUUCCUAUGUAUGAGUGGUUCAGUCAAAGCAAGACGGUUAAACAGAUACCAAGAAUGACAGGUAAAGGUAGGAGAAACAUAAAGUUACAUUCAUAUGCAGAAUUACACACAUUUAAAGUUUGAUUAACACACGAUAAAACUGCAGAUACUCCAAUUUGAUAUGGAAGACAUCUAAGCACAAAAAGGAAAUACAGUCAAUACAUUUAGAAUACAUUUACUUUCCUUUUUCCUUACAAGAAUUCCUAGCGAGCUGGGCUUUUUCUGUUUCUCCCAGUUGGGUCAUAAAGUUUAUAUGACCUGGUCAGGAAUUUAAACCCAGCCAUGCUGGCACCAGGGUGGUCAUUCAGCUUGCAGAGAGUUUGAUUUACCUGCAUGAGUUCAUGGGCUAAAAGCUUUGGGUUUUAGCCAAGGAAUGUGCAUUGUUUUAGAUUCAACGAGCCAUGAUUCAUUAAUUCAGAACCAAUGAAUGAAUGAACUGCUCAUACCCUACACACCAAUUCAGCAGAACCUCAAGUAAAUUACAUGUUAUUUUGUUUGCUUACUGAAUAACUUUGGGGAAUGGUAAGAGAGGUAAGAGAGUUGGACUCAUAACCCAAGGGUUGCGGGUUCGAGUCUCGUACAGGCAGGGACUGUAGGUGAGUUAGGGGGAGUGAAUGUACAGCGCUCUCUCCCACCUUCAAUACCACGACUGAGGUGCCCUUGAGCAAGGCACCAAACCCCCAACUGCUCCCCGGGCACUACAGCAAAUAAUGUCACUUUCACUUCACUUUUACUUUCCCACUAUACAGGUAGGAUCUUUUUUAUUAUUUAUCACUCAGAACAACUUAGCCGAAUAGCCUACAACGAUUUUCUUUAAAUACUUAAGUACAGCAAGUAGGGCCUGCAGGUUUUCUUCGGAGGGUACGCGCAGUUUUUUUUAAUUAAUUAAUUAAUUAAUUAAUUUAUUUAUUUAUUUUCAAAAUUAAUUUAAAAAAGAUCUGUAAUGUUCAAAAGAUUUUUCCCUUUCUCCCAAAACAGCUUAUAAUACUGUUUCGGCUAUAUUAAAACAGUUUAGUUUUGUAUGUAAUGGAAAAGCGAUUAUAUUUAAUUUCUUUUAUUAUAAAGUUAAUUUAGAAAAACAUUUGGAGCAUUUUUUGUUCCUUAAAUGUAACUUUUUUUUUCUUUCUUUAAGCAACGACCAAGCGGCCAGCGGCAGAUAAUAAGUUGAUCAUAUCCUAUGUUUGAUAAAUUUAGCCUUCUCAAAUCAUCACGACUUGCCUAAAAUAAAACCGUUCAAGCAUAUCACAAAUGUUAGGUCAUCAAGCCUCCAUUUAUUUGACCAAAAUUUUAAUAUACUUUAAAAUACAUUUAAUGCUAUGCCGAUUUAUUAUCAAUGUUGGAAACCUGUAAUUUACACUUUUUCACCUGUGAUUCUUUGAUAAAUUAAAAAUUAAAAAAGAACAGCAUAUAACUUUUAUAACAAUAUACACUACCGUUCAAAAGCUUGAGGUCAGUAUUUUAUUUAUUUUUUUAAGAAAUUACUUUUUAUUCAGCAAGGACUUGUUAAAUUGAUAGAAACAGUGAUAGCAAAGAUUAAUAUUGUUAGAAAACAUCUCUAUUUUGAAUAAAUGCUGUCCUUUUUAACUUUUCAUUUAUAAGUGAACCCCAAAAAGUAGGCCUAUCACAGGUUACAAAAAAUAAAUAAAUAAAUAAAAUUAACCAGCACAACUCUUUUCAAUAUUGAUAAUAAGUCAGCAUAUUAGAAUGAUUUCUUUAGGAUCAUGUGACACACUGAAGACUUGAGUAAUGGUGCUGAAAAUUCAGCUUUGCAUCAGAGAAAUAAAUGAUAUUUUAAAGUAUAUUAAAAUAGCAAAACAUUCUUUUAAAUUGAGUACAAUUUAAUUAUUAUUUUUAAAUACAGUUUUUGUCUGUAUUUUUGAUCAAAUAAAUGCAGGCUUGAUGAGCAUAAGAUAUUUUCAUAAUGCUGUUUAAUUAUCAAAAAUGGUAAUAUAAUAAAGUCCUUUCACGGCACCAUUUUGCCCUCCUACAUUUCACAUAACAGGCCUGUAGGUGGCACUUGGGCUUCAUUAUUUAUGAUAGUUUCAUGAAAUAGUAAACGGUGUAAAUAUAAGGGAACUGAAUACUGGUUACCAUUAUUGCGACUUUUGGCACUGCAUGGUUUUGUGCAGUGCUUUUGUAGUAAUUUAGCAUACAUUUUCUCAGCAAUGUAAUUUGAUUUAUAAAAAUGAGUCAAACCGCAGAUCCAGAUCACUCCACAAAGGUAAGCUUGUCUGUCCAUGUAAUUUUCAACUGAUUCAUGAAUAAGAACAGAAAAUGACCACUCUACUUCACUCUGUUGUCCAAUGAAAUUUGAACUUGUGCCAGAUCGUUAUUGGUUGGUGUAUUAUACAUGACAAACGGGGAAUGAUGAACUAUGUAAUAUUCUAACAUAAUUAAAUCGACACACUAGCUUUGAUUAUUGAUGAAAAAAGUUAAAAAUAUUGUUUAGUUUAUUUUUUCCUUCCCGCAACCCUAGUCACUGAAAAGAAGGUUUCCGAACAGACUGUGGAAUAUCACAUAUGUCAGUCAAGCAAAACGCACACAACCCAAUGCCUCAGAUUGCAGAUAUGUGUAUUAAAAAAAAAAGAAAAAAAAGGGAAUUUUCCAACAUUUGAGUGAUUAAUUACUGUUCCCUUUCAAGGGAACUUUGAACUGCGUCCUCUAGGGGUCGCUAUGGGGAACACCUCGUCGUGACCUGUGUCUGAAACAUACGUUGAAAAAACACCAACGAGUUGGCCUCUGACGUCACUACAGGCGCGACUAUAAACAGCCACCGGGAGAACACGUCAUUCUCUUCUUCGUCUUCACUGACUGUUCUGUUUGAAGUGUGCAUCUGAAAGAACUGGUAAGAGCAAUCUUUCUCUGUCUAUCAUGGCGACUACUAGCAAGCAUUUAGACAAUGUGUGCAUCCGUGUCAGCGUUAUUUGACACCCGAUGACACACGAUCUUUGCGUCAUUUGUUUUUUGGGUGAAGAGCACGCACGCGAUGUCUUUGAGGAGGCAAUCUGCGUGCAUUGUGAGUGUUUUUUCAAUGAUAAAGCUCCGCUCUCGUUCGUCUCUCUUUCCGAGGGAUGAGAGAGAGCCUCAGGAGGAUGAUGUUAUAUCUUUAACACUUUCUGAUACUGAGGUUAGUGCUCUGCUGGGUUUUUACCCAGGAAAAGCAGGAGAUAUUUGAGGAUGGUGAAGAAGCUGAGGCUGAGCCUUCUCAAUUCUCCUGCCCUGCGUAUGUAGAGCUGUUGGAGGUUAUGGAUCGUGCCACGGCAAGGUUGGACUUGCCAUGAAAGUGCGCUAACAAGGUGAUGCCGUGAAGCCAUCUCGAUGAGCAUUAUCUGUCUGACCAUAGCCCUCCAGCUCAGGUGAGCCUUCCAUUUCUGCCUGAUCUCCAUACAGAGAUCGAAAAGAAAUGAAAGAGGCUGUUUUCUUCUCACAUCCAUCGGUUUUGGCAUAAGAGUUGUGCCGACAUCAAGGCGAUGCAUGAAAACAGCUAUGAGAGGAUGCCCCCUGUAGAAAGAGCUUUCUUUCUGCGGGGGAGACAUCCCCUCUUAAUCUCCUUCCUUUCCAUCUAAGCCCCUUCAAAGAAAUACAUCUCGCUUAAAAGGCAUACGCAGCAGCAGGUCAGGCUGUGGCUUUAUUACACACAAUGGUGGUGCUUCAAGCAUAUCAGACUGAUCUGCUAAGAGACCUGGAUAGAGGCGAGGGCCUUUUUCCUGAUCAGGUAGCCGAGCUGCGCCGCACCACAGAUCUUUCUCCAGGCAACCAAGCAGGCCACCUCUGCCAUGGGCAGGACUAUGGCUGCCAUGGUGGUAGCGGAGAGACAUCUGUGGAUGAACCUGGCAGACAUCGGGAAGAAAGAAAAUGCGUUCUUCUCGAUGCUCAGGUUUCGCCUUCUGAACUUUUUGGUAUUCCGUUGAGAUGGUGAUCGAGAAGUUCAGGGAGAUGAAGGUGUGCUCCGCUGCUUUCAGAUCCUUCAUUCCACGAAGGUCCAGGUCUGAGCCCGAACAACAUGGGGUCCUGGCCUGUCUUGAUCUGAGGAUCAAAGACGGGCACAGAAGGCUAGUGUCGCGGCUCGCGCUCCUCCCCCACCUGCGGGCAGGGGUAAGAGGAAUCGUGGGUCACAAGGAGGUAAGCAGAAUCUAAGGGAUGUGAUCCAGAUGAGGCAGCAUUCUCGUCUGAAUCAGAGCGAUACCGAGGUAUCUACUCGUUCCCUUUAGGGAUUUUUAAAUUCUGCUUUUAUCCUUCCCUUCCUAAUUCCCCUGUAACCACCAGCUCUCCACCUGAUCGAGGUUAGGUGGAAACCUCUCGCAUAACAGUCUCCUAUGCUGGACCUAUAAUGUUUUUGGCUGGUUCUAUGUUCAUAGCAACCACCUUACUGAUGGUCCGGACUAAAAGGAGGCGCCCCUUGAGCGGGGCUUCAGCGCAGGAGGGUGGGUGAGUAUGAUAACCCUUUCUGUAUAUACUGUAUAUACUGUAUAUAUUCUGUAUAUACUUAUGUGUAUUAAAUUGCUGGUGGUUAUGUGUCUACUAAUAAACUGUGUGAGUUUCCUUUGCAGUGCUCAGUUACAGUGUUUACUAAACACUCGUCAGCACCAGCCAUCCGGCUUCAUGUUCCGGUAUUAGGCGGCUGAGAUCACAGGUUUCUGCUGGAGCCUCUUUGAUCAUCAGGCCUGGCACAGCACUGCAGGGAAUUUCAUGGAUGUCCGGCCAGGUCACCCUGAGGGGUCUCCUGGCCUUUUAGUUGUGCUGUCGCAUCCAGUGGGAAGUGGAGGUGGCAGUUACAGAAGUCUUCUUGUUUAUGCUUCCCCAGGUGAUGCUCCCCUUGCCAGAGGUUUGUAAAAUUUGAGCUUGCCUGUCCCGUGCGGUUCAGCACCUCUGCGAUGCUUAGGAACCUUUAGGUACACACGCUAAGCUCUGUGUACUUUCUGAAAACCACAUGGUGGUCAGUGUGCACGUGAACACUUUGCACACUUUCUAAAAUCCACGUAAGUGGUAAGUGUGCACACAAGACUCUGCGCACUUUCUGAAAUCCUGUACGGUAAGGGUUACGCGCUCCGCCUUGUUCCCUUUCUUGAGAUGAUUAGACCUUGGUCCCUUGGGCUCCAUUCAGCCAGUGUGUAUUUGUUUAUAUACUUCAAGCAUCGCUUCCCUCAACAUGAGGGGCUAUUUGAGCGAUUCUUGUGGUAGUUUAGCAGCGCUCCCCUUUUCCAAGAAGGGUCGCCUAUGAGUGCGCUACUCUGAAUUCGGAGUUCUCCUCUCAUAUGAGACUGAGUUCUCUGUUUUUUUCCCCAAAGUGCUCCAGCAUUAUUUCCACAGAUCGAGUUGAUGACUCUCAAACAUACUGUUUUGAGAUGCACCAUUCCAUCUAUGAGCUGUUCUAUCAGAGUGCCACGAGAGCCCCUCCUUAGAACAGUAUUUGAAAAUCCAUGCUAUGGUAAGUGUGCACAUGAAGUCUUUGCACACUUUCUGAAAUCCACACUUUGGUAAGUUCACACACUAGUAUUCUACGUUCUUUCUAAAAUCCUAUAUGGUGAGGGCUUUGUGUGGUUGCUUCGUGCCCUUUCUUGAGUUGGUAAAAGCCCCGUUCAUCUUGGGCGCCACUUCACCUAUGUAUCCUCGGACACCUAUCUAAACAGGGUGUUGCUACUAGAGAUCCGUUGAGACAGCUCCUUCAGCAAGCUUAUGCGAAAGCAAGCGGUAGCCCCUGUGUGACAGGCAAGACUUUAAAGGAGUCUUUCCUGAUUCCAAGCCUUCAGCUCUACCCUGGGCCGAGGCCCUAACAAUUAAGUUGGGUAUGUAGCUUAGGCCUUUGGCCGUAAGAGGUACUGUCACAGACAGCCGUCUAAACGUCUCAGGGGCAACUCCCAUGGAAAUGGUAGAGUUGAUACUUAGUGUUCACCAUGAUUCUGGGCUGCACUCACCUCAGCAUGGCGGCGUGGGUAUACUGUUCCCCAUAGCGACCCCUAGAGGACGCAGUUCGAAGUUCCCUUGAAAAGGAAUGUCUCAGGUUACGGACUUCAGACUUUAGACAUGGGUCACGACGAGGUGUUCCCCAUAGCGACCCCUAGAGGAUGCAGUGUCUCGUUCCCUACUCAGGGAACCAUGGUUACAUUUGUAAUCUGAGACGUUUUGUACACCUUGUCAUGUUAAUUAUAAUUCAAAUGCGUUUUUUUAUUGACCACGAUAUCAUUGCUAUUUGUCUAAGAGGAGCACUUUUGAAUAAUUUUGAAAAAGGACAGGGACUUGAGCUGUUAGGCGCAUAUCCAAUCGUUUGUGUGCAAGAGUGGAAGGCACUAGUGCAAUCACUUGCAUUUUUUUCUAACAGUGGAAAUAGACUAAAUAUGCCGUCAUUUUUGCUCAUAAAGGUAAGAGUAAUACAUAAUUCGGAACUGUAAAGGGUCUGCUUUUAUUUGUGUGCGCUCACAAUAUCAACAAAACGUUGUGCUUUGAUAAAAUAAAUAGGAAAACAGCGGAUAUGCAUUCUGCCAUCUCGGUCUUGAACAGGAGUGCUUUACAAUGAUGAACUGAAACUCAGCAAAUUGCUUCAGAGACAUGAUAUACAAAUAUAUAUCUAUAGAAAGCUUUAAAUUACUACUUUAAAAUGAAAUAAUUCAAAUCAAAAAUAGAAAGUCUUUCAUUAUGUAAUCUGUAAAGAUGCAUUUCUCUCUAAAGGCAUGUCCAAUGACGUGAUGGCGAGUCAUUUUUUUGUCACCAUAAUUGAUGGAUGUCUAAAAUAUAAAAAUAAGGAAAAGCCUAAAACAGGCCCGAUUAUAAUUUGUUUUAUUUUUUAUAAUUCUAUACAAUUAAAAAAUAAAACACACAUUAUAAUGGCAUAGGCUAUAUGUACAACUUUGUCCAAUAUUUGUAUAGCUGCUUAUAUUUUCUGAUUUUUAUGUUGCUCUGUUCAGAAUACCUUAAAAUUUAAAGGAUUUGCUGCAAUUCAAUAUUGUCUGAUAUGUGAAUAAUUUAUUUGCAUAUUAGUAGGCCUAUUUUUUAAAUCCAUGCUGCAAAUGCUUUAAAAACAGCUUUAAAAAUUACUUUAUUGCAUUCCAGAUGCUUUUAAAGAACUUUUCACUAUACAUUUAACGGGUAGCUUAAAUAUAAAACAUUUUCAUGAAUUUGUUGUAUUCCCAUUUGUAAAAUAGCCUAAUUAACUGUUGUAGGCUAACCUGAUCUCAUGUUGAAGAUGCUUAUUAUAGCUCGAUUUUCUGUUUCUAUUUGGCACAGUAUUUAUAUGAAAAAAUUGACGUUUGCUGCAAAAGACUGAUAAAUUCAUAAUUAAUGGCAUGGCUGGUUCAGUCGACAGAAAUACAGGACACAUAUAGCUACUCAUGAUACACAGCGGUAAACAUGCCUUCAGCCAUACACUUGCACUUUGGAUGGGUUAAAUGCGGAGCACGAAUUCUGAGUAUGGGUCACCAUACUUGGCUGUAUGUCACGUCACACAGCAGCUUUCCUCCUUAAAUGUUUAACAAACAGCUAAUUUUAAGACGCUGACGUCACGUCUGGUUGUCACGUGGGUCACUCGCAGUGUAAGACGCUCAAAGCUCAAGACGUUCGGUUUGACGUUUGAUCGGUCGGUCGGUCGUUCGAACAUAUGGAGUUCCACCGAGCUCUUUAAUAUGACGUUGUAACACGCACUUGUCUCACUGAACGUCACGUCUGCCGAACGUCACGUCUGCGCCUGCCACAUUACAGUUCUAUGAGGUGUGAUUUAUGCACUUUUUGCUACUCACUAAGCAGACUGAGAGGAGAACUGACGUGUAUACGCUCGCCAGCCGUCUGGCCAAAAUCCCAUAGUAUUCAGGCGUCAGACGUAAGAUAUGAGACGUUAGACGUCACGGUCACGUGUUGGAGCUGUGCUCAAACUGCGCGGCGGCGUGGCGGCGACGGAGCAAAGAAAGGAUUUUUUUUACUUUGCAUCUGGAUAACGUAUGUGUGGAUAAACGUCUGGAUAACGUACGUGUGGAUAAACGUCUGGAUAACGUACGCGUGGAUAAGCGUCUGGGUAACGUACGCUUGGAUAAGCAUCUGGAUAACGUACGUGUGGAUAAGCGUAUGUGUGAAUAAGCGUACGUGUGAAUAAAUACAUUGAUAAUCAUUUGGCUUUGUCCUAUUUUGCCCCAAGGAAGGCUUUACGGUGGUAAUGGUCAUGAUAACAGUACCUAAAGUACACAUCUGUCUCCCCAGUGGCAUAGUCUGGGUGUGUUUUAAUAUGAGAAUUCUUGGCCCGAGUCGGACUGGAUACCGUGACUUUUUUCUCUCUCUCUUCCCUUAUUACACAGCUAUUAAAAUAGUUAAAAUAGUUUUGUUUUUUAAUAGAAAAGUUGUCAAAUUUCUUUUUGUUUCUUUAUUAAGUUAAUUUAGAAAUAUGUUUGGAACAUUUUGUGUUUGGUAAAUUCAAGUUUUUGUUUUUUAAAGGAACGAGCAAGCUGCAGCGGCGGAUAGUGAGUUGAGCAUUAUGUUUGAUCAAUUUAGCCUUCUCAAACCAACACGACUUAAUACACUUCAUGCAUUCCACAGCAUUAAUUUAAACAUUUAACCUAGAUAAAUGAUCGCUGUUAGGCGCAUAUCCAAUCGUUUGUGCGGAGAGUGAGCGCUUUGCAGGACAUGGGUCAGCUUUUUUUUAAAUUUUUUUUUUUAAUGACAGUAAAAACUUAAAAAUACGCCGUCAUUUUUGCUCAUAAAGGUAAGAGUGUGCAUCAUUCGGAACGGCAAAGGGUCUACUUUUAUUUGUGUGCACUCACAAUAUGAACAAAACCUUAUGCUUUUGUAAAAUAAGGAAAACAAACAGGAUGUGCUUAUUGUAUUGGUCUUGAGCAGGAGCGCUUCACCAUCAUGAUAAAUAUAUCUAUAGAAUGCUUUUCUAUAGAAUAUCUAUAGAAUGCUUUUUGCAUUUUAAAUUACUAUUUUAAAACGAAAUAAUUCAAAUCGAAAACAAAAACUCUUUCAUUAUGUAAUCUAAAGAUGCAUUUCUCUCUCAAUGCACGUCCAGUGAGGAGAUGGCAAGUCAGUUCGUCAAAUUAAUUUUUGCAACAACAUUGACUCAGAAGAAAUUAGUUUAUUAAGACAUAAUUCAAAUAUCUCACCACUAUUUUUACUUUUUUUGUUUGUUUGUUUUUUUAUUGAUUUAUUUGUUGUUUGUUUGUUUUUGGGCCGCUGUGCAAAAAUUGUGUUUGCAUUCAGUAGCCUAUAAGGCAGCAUUUUGUGCCACGUUGAAAAAUAACAGAAUAAAUAAGAUUAACGUCAUAAUAUUUUAAGAAUAAAAUGUCAAAAUUACGAUAAUAAAAUUAUGUUAUAUUGUGAAGUGAAAAAAAGUCUGUGGCAUCCAUCAUUCUUUUAACUUUUCUUAACUAACUCUGAUUGAUCGAUUCAUGAGACAUUCGUUUGUAUUAAAUUGUUCUGAUUUUUUUUUCAACAUGCAUUCAAAUAUUCAUGUUUAUUUCGUGCUGCAAAUAUUAAAGAGGAAAAUAUCAUUGAUUCAUAUGCAGCUACUGAACAAAUUAUCUCAAUCUACAAGUUUUUUGCACAUGUGCCUGGAGCUGACUCGCUACGCCACAGUUUCCCUACGACUGUGAUCAUAAGGCUUCAGUAGAUAUCAACACAUGAAAAGUAGGCUACUAUAUAGACAUAACACUUGAAAAUGAAAAUGUGUCAAACUGGGUAGACCAGUUUCAAAACAUUUUCAAAUAGGCCUAUAUGUAUAAACGUAUUAAUUAUUUAUCAAUAUAUAGCCUCUUAAUUUGAACAUGUAGAGUAGCUUACAAGAAACUGCUCUGGUAAUAAGCAGCUGUAUGGCAUGAAAAAAACAAAACCUGAACUCUGAAAUAAUAGACAUCUGCUGAUCAUACAGUUAUCUAGUUUUCAGAAAUGAGGUCUACUCUAUAGUGAUUUUUUUCUUUAGAGACGUGUUGUAUUAACUAUUACCAGUAAAUUCAUAUGUGCUCAGAUUAAAAUUAGCCUAUAUUAUUAUUGUAUUAUUUCAUUUAAGCUGUAACUGUGAAUAUAUUUGGACACUCCAUGUUAGUCACUGAAUAGACUUACAUGAUUUUCAAUUGAUUUUUAGGUGAUAUUGUUUGAAAAGUGAUUUAUAAUGAGUGCAAAAAAAAAAAAAAAAAACAAUUAUUUAUACAGUUUAUUUUAUUAUCAAAGCCUAGACCCUAUGUGAUAACAUAACCUGAGGCUAAAAGCUGUGAUAUUAAUGCUGUCCACUAGAGAGAGCCACAUUAUAAGGAAUAGGCCUAUUUAAAGCUUAUUUUUAAAAAUCAAUUUCCACACUUUUGAAAAGAAACGAAUGCAUAUAACAAUUUAAUUUAACUAUGAUGUACUGACAGUAUAGUUUUAUAUAAUCCGUGUGCAUUGCUUAUCCCAAAGAUUUUUCAAUUGUUUCAAUUUUACUAAAUGCUGUCUUAGUUUUUCUCGAUUCCUAACACACAAUUCAUGAAACAAUUUACCCCUUUCUCACAACUAUAAACACAUUCUCAUAACAAACAAACUUGUGCUAACUUUCAUGUAAAAAUCAAAUUCUCCAGUCAAAAACCAUUACAUCUAUCAAUAUCAAACUUUGGCCUCAGAUGACAAAACCUACAGUACAAAUACACACACUAUAAAAUCCAAUAGUUUGCCUUACUUAAAUAUAAUAAGUUAUCUUUACUUAGUUGUUAUACUUACUAGGUUUUAUUAAGUUACUGCUCAUUUUAAAGCGAAUAAAACAACUUGCUGCAAUGAGUAAUUCUUAAAAUAUGCAAGUAGCUACAACAAAACCGAUGACAUUACUUCACCAGUGAGAGGCAGCAGUGCGCUAAUGUGUUGCUAAUGCGCAACAAAACAACAGAAGAAGAAAUAAGGACGGUUAGAGAGCAUGCGCAACAAGCGAUGUUUUGAAUUUCUGCGUCGAAUUUGCUGAAACUACGAAGAAGUAGAGAGACUGCUUGCAUUUUACCUCUGGACAAAGACUGAUUACUUCUACACAAUAUAAUAAGGUAAGUUUAAAAAAAAAAUAAUUGUGUGUGGAUGUAUCUUUCUGUGUGCUGUUAAUUUUAACUGACUAACAUUAGCUCCUUGUCAGCACCAGUGUUAGCUAACAGGCAGCAAAGAUCUUUGCUAUUAGAACAAAAACUGUAGAAAUACAGAACUUGUGGCACAUUUUGGUAAAUUUGAAACUUUUUAAAACUUUUUUUAUUUCUCAAAUUGAAAAAAUGUGUUGCUAGUUAAAAAUGAACGCAUGAAAAUUCGAGGUACGAUUCAAGAACAUGCCAAAAGUCUCCAAGAUGAGCUCACAGUAGUUUUUUAAGACAAUCUUUAUGUGCCACUGAUAGUAUUCAUUGUUAACAGUAAUCUUUUGCUAAAUUCCCUCUAUAAUUUUAUAACACUAUGAGGCUUUUGACACUUUUUAGGUUAAAGUCAUUUUUCAGUUUACAGUUUUGUCAACAUUUUAAUACAAUCAUAGUCAUUACGCGAUCACACAUUUAAGAUUUAAACUGAAUGAGCUCGUUGUCUUGCAGUAAUUAUUUCUUUGCUGUGUUGAAACACUAAGUACUGUAACAGAAGAAAUGUUGCUUUUGAAUUGGUUUUACGACUGAGGCCUCAAGUCGAUAUGUAUAAAAAUGUUCUUUCUAUUGUAAAACAUGCAAAUAUCAAGAAACUAGGGGUGCACGAUAUAUAUCGGCCGAUGAUUAAUGCGCAUCUCGUCAGUAAAGCCGGUUCUCUAAUCAGCGGUAAAUUCCAACAGGUGCGCGAUUUCACAUAGAGCAGCAUUUCUUUUAUUUAAAUGUAUAUUUAAGUUUACAUUUAUGUUCCAACAAACUUGAAAAAUUCUGCUUGAUAAAUGCUCUAAAACUUUUAUGUAAAUGAUUGACUUUUAUAUAUAUAUAUAUUACCUGUUUUAUAUAUUUAAUACUUGGUCCGUUUAUUGAUUUGUUUGGUUAACUUUAGAUAUUUCUUUUUUAUUUGUAAUACCGUGGAGUGCACAAAAUUAAGAUUCGAGAGAUGGUUCAAGUCAGUGCUCAAUAAAUGAUGUUAAGUUUAGAAAUGUUGUGCAUCCACUUAUUAUUAGUGUGACAUUUUAGCAUGCAAAUGAGGGGAAAAACUUCAAGAUAUCAGCCCUAAAAAUCGGCAGCACAUAUCGGCCAUCGGCUGACCCUGACCUCUAAACAUCGGCAUCGGCUAUAGAAAAACCCAUAUCGGUCGAUCUCUACUCUGAACAGCGGUCUUGUGAACAUGGGCCUCAGUACAAUAAAGGUAAGGUAUUUCAGGUUUUUGACUCAAUCAUGUGCUACGCUUUAUUUGCAAUUUCAAAUAAUUUCUUGCAGUUCCAGAAUACCUGUAACCGUAUUUCUGUAUUUGUAACUGUAUUUCUUUUCACAAAUCUAAGAGGACACUUCACACCCUACAACCCGUAAAAAUAACCCAGAUUCGUCAGAACUACACACCCAUCUGAGGCCUACUGUACCUGUUUUACUUCAUGAUCACCCCAGAUACUUCUACAAUUGACCCGCUUUGUGUCUGAUAUUGAUGCAGUCUGGGCACUAGUAUCUGUUGGCUUGCUGACUAUCACUGAAGAUGAAGUACUUCUCCAAAUCUUCUCUGCCUUGACCCUGUGUCUUCUGCCAUCAUUGUUCAGUGUAGUACUGCAAAGAACCGUCUCCAGGGUCUACCUCGCACAUUUGCUUCCGGACCGCCAUGUGCUACGUUUGGAUUACUGGUACAUGAAGAUUACCCUGAUACUGUGAAGAACACUUACAAUAUGAUGCUUGACUUGGGACAGAAAAAAAAAAACACUGGCAACUUGUGUGGCCAACUCAUUGCCAUACUUAAUCUCAUCUUACUGCUACCUCCACUGUUUAGUAUAAACAAAAGCAGACAGUUUUUGCUUUGUUUCAAAAUGUUUGUAAUACAAGUUAAAACUGCAUUGAAAAAUAUAAAAAAUAUAUUAUCUUUAACUUUGAACUGUCACUACCUUUGAUUUAUGGGUAAUUAUGUGUGUGAAGAAUAGAACAUUGUUGUCAUGAAUUUUUAAUGGAUGUUUGAACCAUAUUAAGUUACUGGAGUAACGCUAACUUCUUCUUUUUUUUGUUUUUUUUAUUUAAGGCAAUUGGUUAAAACUAGAUUGCUGUUCAAGUAAAUACAACUUAGAAAUGUUACUUGAUUUAGCUAAACUUAAAUGAGUUGUUUGAAAUACGCACAUAGUAUAUUGCAAUUAAUAAUUUAGUUGUUGAAAAAAGUGAUUCUGAGUUACAAGAACUUGAGUGUAAGUUUACAACAAAUAAACCUUUGUUAGUACAAAUUACUAUUCUUAUUUCACUUUACUUGUUUUUUUUUCAAGGCAAUCGGUUUGCAUGCUUUUUUAAAAUAACUAAUUAGAAUCAGACAACUUCCCUGCCCAGUGAACACUAGUGAGAUCAACUCAGAACACUGUAGCUGUAAUAAAGUACUGUUAUUAUAGUUACUAUACUGUACUACACUGUGUGGUUCUUUCAGCUCUCUCUUCAGUGCUAGGAUGCAUUUUUAAAGCAGUCACCUGUGCUCCUGUUUAUACUAUCCUGAGAUUCUGACUGGUGUCAUCAGUUUUGCUACUGAAUGCUUGCUAAUUGUGUGUUAUUUGAGUUCACACUGUGACACUAGAGUUAAUUAUUUGAUGUGUAUGUGUUUUAUGAGUGAGAACAUAAAAUAUCUGUAAAAUGAGGCCAACUUUGGAGAAAUCAUUAAAAAAAUUGGAAUGUGUGGAUAGAUGCAUUCCAGUAUAAUAUAUAGCCUAGAAUAUUAUAAUUUCUAAAAUACUAAAUUAUUAAAACAUUACAUGAUUGAAGUGUUUACUCAUGGUCCAUCGUUAAUUUAGAAUUUGGCCUUUGGAUUUAACUGUGUUAAUGCAUUAAGCCAUUUUUCGAUUAACGGUUUUCUGGGGGACAAAACACAUAAACUUAUAAAAAUGUUGUCUUUCCAUUUACUUUAUACUGCCAUUAUCUUGUGCCAUUAGUGAUAUAUGGUGCUUACAAGAAAGCUGUGAAUUGGUUGUUCCUGGUUGUUGUUUUACAAGUGCACUUCUAAACAACAUUGUAAGUUCAUUGAUUAGCUAUAUUGCAGUGUAAUUUUAAUUUUACUCGUCAUAUUUUCGUCAACGUUCUGAACGUUAUGAAAUAUUCGGGGAUUUGGAGGUGCUAAAAUGAUAUAACAUGCAGGUUUUUUUGUUUCUUUUUGCUCCAAACAAAACAAAACACUAAUCUACAGCACUUAAGACAUUUGACAAAAUCACACACACAACUGGCAAAAGGUAUUACAGACGACAAGGCGUAGACGUCACGUAGCUUCUCACGCGAGAAGUGGGGCGACGAAAGUGUCGCGCUUCUUAUCACACAUCCUUGGUCACGGCAAGGUAC
ensembl:lncRNA